rnacentral:rRNA from 1 species
UACGGGAGGCAGCAGUGAGGAAUAUUGGUCAAUGGGCGCAAGCCUGAACCAGCCAUGCCGCGUGCAGGAAGACGGUCCUAUGGAUUGUAAACUGCUUUUAUACAGGAAGAAACCCUCCCACGUGUGGGAGAUUGACGGUACUGUAGGAAUAAGGAUCGGCUAACUCCGUGCCAGCAGCCGCGGUAAUACGGAGGAUCCAAGCGUUAUCCGGAAUCAUUGGGUUUAAAGGGUCCGUAGGCGGUCUUAUAAGUCAGUGGUGAAAUCCCAUCGCUCAACGAUGGAACUGCCAUUGAUACUGUAAGACUUGAAUACUUAGGAAGUAACUAGAAUAUGUAGUGUAGCGGUGAAAUGCUUAGAUAUUACAUGGAAUACCAAUUGCGAAGGCAGGUUACUACUAAGUGAUUGACGCUGAUGGACGAAAGCGUGGGGAGCGAACAGGAUUAGAUACCCUGGUAGUCCACGCCGUAAACGAUGGAUACUAGCUGUUCGGAGCAAUCUGAGUGGCUAAGCGAAAGUGAUAAGU